rnacentral:rRNA from 1 species
UUUGCCUACGGGACGCAGCAGUGGGGAAUAUUGCACAAUGGGGGAAACCCUGAUGCAGCGACGCCGCGUGAAGGAUGAAGUAUUUCGGUAUGUAAAGCUCUGUCAGCAGGGAAGAAAGCAAUGACGGUACCUGACCAAGAAGCCCCGGCUAACUACGUGCCAGCAGCCGCGGUAAUACGUAGGGGGCAAGCGUUAUCCGGAAUUACUGGGUGUAAAGGGAGCGUAGACGGCUGUGCAAGUCUGG